UACGUAGGGGGCAAGCGUUGUCCGGAAUCAUUGGGCGUAAAGCGCGCGUAGGCGGCCCGGUAAGUCCGCUGUGAAAGUCAAAGGCUCAACCUUUGAAUGCCGGUGGAUACUGCCAGGCUGGAGUCCGGAAGAGGCGAGUGGAAUUCCUGGUGUAGCGGUGGAAUGCGCAGAUAUCGGGAGGAACACCAAUGGCGAAGGCAGCUCGCUGGGACGUGACUGACGCUGAGACGCGAAAGCGUGGGGAGCAAACAGG
rnacentral:rRNA from 1 species